GACGAACGCUGGCGGCGUGCCUAAUACAUGCAAGUUGAGCGCAGAAGGUUGGUACUUGUACCAACUGGAUGAGCAGCGAACGGGUGAGUAACGCGUGGGGAAUCUGCCUUUGAGCGGGGGACAACAUUUGGAAACGAAUGCUAAUACCGCAUAAAAACUUUAAACACAAGGUUUAAGAUUGAAAGAUGCAAUUGCUUCACUCAAUGAUGAUCUCGCGUUGUAUUUGCUAGUUGGUGAGGGAAAGGCCCACCCAGGCGAAGGAUCAUAGCCGAACCGAGAGGGGUGACCGCCCAAAUGGGACUUGAGCACGGCUCCAACCCCCUCGGGGAGCAGCAGUAGGGGAUCUUCGGCAAUUGGCGGAAGUCUUACCGGACAACGCCGGGUGGAGUGAGGAAGGUUUCGGAUCGUUAAACUCCGGUUGUAGGGAAGAACGUUGGUGAGAGUUGAAAGCGCAUCAAGUGACGGUAACUACCCAGAAAGGGACGGCUAACUACGUG
rnacentral:rRNA from 1 species